rnacentral:rRNA from 1 species
CCUGGGUGGCAGCAGGGAGGAAGAUGGGGCAAGGGAGGAGAGACUGAACCAGCAAAGGAGCGGGAAGGAGGAAGGAACUAGGGGUGGGAAACGUCUGUUAUAUGGGAAGAAAACGUUCCACGUGUGGGAGUUUGUAUGUACCAUAUGAAUAAGGAGCGGCUAACUCCGGGCCAGCAGCCGCGGUAAUACGGAGGAUCCGAGCGUUAUCCGGAUUUAUGGGGUGUAAAGGGCGCGUAGGGGGAUUGUUAAGUCAGUUGUGAACGUUUGCGGCUCCACCGUAAAAGUGCAGUUGAAACUGGCAGUCUUGAGUCCAGUAGUGGUGGGCGGAAUUCGUGGUGUAGCGGU